GCCGGCCUAGCUCAGUGGUAGAGCAUCGCUUUCGUAAAGCGAGGGUCCCCGGUUCAAUCCCGGGGGCCGGCUCAA
rnacentral:tRNA from 1 species